AUUAAUUAAACGGAGAAUCACGAGCAGUGCCGCUGAAUUUUAUCUCGCCCCCCAGGUGGUGGGCAGCUGCAUCCCUUGAAAAAGAACCUUCCCAAAGAUAAGGAGACUAAGCCCACCAGGGGGCGCGCACUCAUCUCUGGACCCCUAGCCCAGGGGGCCCGCCUCUGAUCCGCCUCUUCUGGGCUCAGGACUUCUCUGCGGCCACAUCUGUAUGUGAACUAUGGGGCUGAAGUCUGAUCGCGUGUAUUAAUAAUUGUUGCGGAGAAUAAUAAUUUGAAAAAUUAGACUUGCUGCGCAACAAGAAUAAUGUUAAAUAGAUGCACACCGAGGAAAUGUAUAACUGAGAUGACUUUUUGAGGGUGGGCAUGAAAAACAACGCAAAAAGUGAACUCCUUCGAGCCGGACUCGAACCAGCGACCUAAGGAUGCCUGGGAGCUUUACACUACAGUCCUCCGCUCUACCAACUGAGCUAUCGAAGGAAUCACACUCUUUCGCUUACCCGCCGAGGAUGCCAUCUCUGCAUAAGUUUCUACAGCUACCACCUCAUUUGGACCCUCCCCACCUUCUGACUGGACUGCUGCAAUCACCUUGUAACGGAUCCCCUUGUCCAGAUUUGUCCUUUCUGUUCUGUUCUCCACACAAGCGUCGAAAGGUCUUACUGAGAGGAGUGUGAGGCCCACGAGAUUACCAC
rnacentral:tRNA from 1 species